UGAAAGUGAGUCUUUGCAGAGCUCCUCAAGUUUCCACUAUGAUGGGGAGAGCAGUGACUGUGUUCCUCUGGGCUCUUAUUCCAGUGGUCCAGGCCCAGUCUCUGACCUCUUCAGAGCCAGUGGUCACCAGCCCGGGACAGUCUGUCUCACUGUCCUGUAAAGUGGAGGGGCUCUCUUUAGCUUGGCUGCACUGGAUUCGUCAGAAACCAGGGCGAGGACUGGACUGGAUCGGUCGCAUUGACAGUGGAACAGGCACCAUAUUUGCUCAAAGUGUCCAGGGCCAGUUUUCUAUCACAAAAGACACUUCAACAAACACUGUGUAUUUACAACUUCACAGUGCAAAGGAAGGAGAUACGGCUGUUUAUUACUGUGCACGAGAGGCACAGUGGUGCAGAGAGCUCCACAGCUUGAGAGGAGGAGUGUAUGCAGAGCAGAUGUAA